CUCAGGAUGAACGCUGGCGGCGCGCCUAACACAUGCAAGUCGAACGGUUAAAGCCCCUUCGGGGGUGCAUAAAGUGGCGAACGGCUGAGUAACACGUGGGCAACCUGCCCCCCCCACCGGGAUAGCCUCGCGAAAGCGGGAUUAAUACCGGAUGACCCGCGACCGGCGCAUGCCGGGCGCGGCAAAGCUUCGGCGGGAGGGGAUGGGCCCGCGGCCUGUUAGCUAGUUGGCGGGGCAACGGCCCACCAAGGCGACUAUGGGUAGCCGGGUUGAGAGACCGACCGGCCAGAUUGGGACUGAGACACGGCCCAGACUCCUACGGGAGGCAGCAGUGGGGAAUCUUGCGCAAUGGGCGGAAGCCUGACGCAGCGACGCCGCGUGCGGGACGAAGGCCUUCGGGUCGUAAACCGCUUUCAGCAGGGAAGAGGCCGAAAGGUGACGGUACCUGCAGAAGAAGCCCCGGCUAAAUACGUGCCAGCAGCCGCGGUAAUACGUAUGGGGCGAGCGUUAUCCGGAUUCAUUGGGCGUAAAGCGCGCGUAGGCGGCCGCGCAGGUCGGGAGUCAAAUCCGGGGGCUCAACCCCCGCCCGCUCCCGAAACCGCGCGGCUUGGGUCUGGUAGGGGAGGGUGGAAUUCCCGGUGUAGCGGUGGAAUGCGCAGAUAUCGGGAAGAACACCGGUGGCGAAGGCGGCCCUCUGGGCCACGACCGACGCUGAGGCGCGAAAGCUGGGGGAGCGAACAGGAUUAGAUACCCUGGUAGUCCCAGCCGUAAACGAUGGACGCUAGGUGUGGGGGGACCAUCCCUCCGUGCCGCAGCCAACGCAUUAAGCGUCCCGCCUGGGGAGUACGGCCGCAAGGCUAAAACUCAAAGGAAUUGACGGGGGCCCGCACAAGCAGCGGAGCAUGUGGCUUAAUUCGAAGCAACGCGAAGAACCUUACCUGGGCUUGACAUCACCGUGAGCCGGCGGAGACGCCGGGGCCGAGAGGAGCGGUGACAGGUGGUGCAUGGCUGUCGUCAGCUCGUGUCGUGAGAUGUUGGGUUAAGUCCCGCAACGAGCGCAACCCCCGUCGCGUGUUGCCAGCGGUUCGGCCGGGCACCCGCGCGAGACCGCCGGCGUCAAGCCGGAGGAAGGUGGGGACGACGUCAAGUCAUCAUGCCCCUUAUGUCCAGGGCUGCACACGUGCUACAAUGGCCGGCACAACGGGCUGCGAACCCGCGAGGGCGAGCGAAUCCCUUAAAGCCGGCCCCAGUUCGGAUCGGAGGCUGCAACCCGCCUCCGUGAAGUCGGAGUUGCUAGUAAUCGCGGAUCAGCACGCCGCGGUGAAUGCGUUCCCGGGCCUUGUACACACCGCCCGUCACACCACCCGAGUCGUCUGCACCCGAAGUCGCCGGCCCAACCCCUUUUGGGGAGGGAGGCGCCGAAGGUGUGGAGGGUAAGGGGGGUGA
rnacentral:rRNA from 1 species